GUCUGUUGCGGACGUUCGAAAAAUGUGGCGUUUAGGAGGUCGCGUGCCGGAGCCGGACUAUGCAGCAAGUCCCCCUGACCGGGGCUGUUACCCAGAGUGGGUGCGAGGCCCAUAGUUGCUAGGUCUGCUUCGGAUGUGACCUCUUGGGAGUCGGGUUGCUUGGGAGUGCAACUCUAAUAGGGUGGUAAACUCCACCUAAGACUAAAUACGGCCGUGAGACCGAUAGCAAACAAGUACCGUGAGGGAAAGUUGCAAAGAACUUUGAAGAGAGAGUUCAAGAGUACGUGAAACUGCUCAGAGGCAAACGGGUGGGCCCUCGAAAUCCUCUGGCAGGGGGAUUCAGUCGGGAGAGGCUCGGGUGGCGUGCGGCUUGAACGGACCCUGUUCGGGGCCGAGCCGCCGUCGCGGUCCGGGUUUCGCCUGACGCAUUUCUCCCUGCACAAGGACGCCGCAUCCGCUUGGGUAGCUGCGUGAGUCGUCCAUGAGGACGGGCACUGGAAGGUGGCUGGUGGCGUUGCUCUUCGCUGCUGGUUGUUAGCCGGUCCGUCCGUGGAACGACACCCGAGCGAGGUUGAAGUGUUCCCGUGUGGGAACUAGCCGUCCCCUUCGGGGCAGACGCUGGCAGGUGUUUCGCGGUGACGCUCGUUCACUCUCGUAGUGUCUUGCGCUCCGCGUUCUCUGUUGGGGUUCAAAGGCUGGCGGCGAGUGAGUCGGUCACCCACCCGACCCGUCUUGAAACACGGACCAAGGAGUCUAACAUGUGCGCGAGUCACGGGGUCUUGAAUAGGCCCAGAGGCGCAAUGAAAGUGAUGGCCGGCCCUUGUUCGGUCUCGUUGGGAUUUUCCGUCCUCGCGGCGGGAGAGCACCAACGAUCCGUCCUAUCCGAUUUAUCGGUUGGCCGGAAUUGGAGCGUACACGUUGGGACCCGAAAGAUGGUGAACUAUGCCUGGGCAGGACGAAGCCAGAGGAAAC
rnacentral:rRNA from 1 species